rnacentral:tRNA from 1 species
GUUGUCUUAGUUUAUCUGGUAAAAACACUACAAUGUAAUGUAGAAAAUAAGGUUCGAAACCUUAGGACGAUC